CCCCUGUUCUGAGUGCUCGCCCACGUGUCCCGUCCCGGUCCCCGCUCCAGAAAGAUAAGUCCUUCUCAGAGAGAGUGCCUGUUAGAAUGCCGAGGAAGAAGGGACAGCCGGAACUUCAGGUCGCCGUGACAGGAUUUUUCAUGUACAAUAAUCUGCUACUUUUGUUGCAUAAGCCAAAGGAAUGACUACCAGAAAGAUAAAGGAAGAAGAAGGAAAAGAAGAAAGUAGAGGAAGAAGGAAAAGAAAGGGAGAAAGGAAGGAAGAAGAAAAUAAAGAAAGGAGAGAAACAAUGAAAGGAAGGAAGAAAGAAGGAAGGAAAGAAAGGAAGAGAAAGAAGGAAAGGAAGAAGAAAACAAAGGAGAGAAAGAAAGAAGGAAAGAAAAAGAAAGGAGAGGAAGGAGAAGAAAGAAAGGAUGAAGAAAAGAACAAAAAAGAAAGGAAAAAGAAAGGAAAAAAGAAAGAGAAGGGAGGAAGGAAAGAACUAGCAUGAUGAUAUGAAAAAGGUUCAGAAUUUGAUGUCAAAGACUUGAAUUUAAAUGUCGCCUUUGUCCUUGCUGUGACUUGGGUAUGUCAUUUGAUUUCCUCUGUAGAACUGGGACAUCCACUUCCUCAUCUGUAAAAUGGUUAUAAUAAUACUUCAACCAUCUAUCCACAAAGUUGUUUUGAGGACCAAAUUAGAUAAUGGUUGUGGAAAAGCAUGAACUAAGUUGUCAUUUUCUGUUGGCUGUUCAGAUUAAAAAAGAAAAAAAAUUGUUUCCUGGUCCUUGCCACAUAUUUCAGAUAGGAGUGGUGUGUGCUUUUGAUUAUUAAGGAAGAGAUGAGAGAGAGAGAGAGAGAGAGAGAGAGAGAGAGAGAGAGAGAGAGAGUAAAGUAGAGGCAUCUCUUUUGAGGAAGUAAUUUUUGGAGGCGUUUUGAAGAAGGAUAUUAGAGUUUGGUAAAGAGAACUAGGAAAUGCCUAGAGGGGCUGGAAAGAUUCCUAAGAGAUAAGAGCAGUUCACUGAAGGAAGUAAGAAAAAGCCCAAAGCAAUCUCCUCGGAACUCUGGUAAAUAGCAGCUGUACCCUUGGAGAGCCUCAGGAGGAAGAGGCUCAUGGCUCCCACCUUUUCUGGAUCAGAUGUUUUCCUACAAACCAAAACAACAAGCUAGGAUUACAAAUGGCAUUCCUUUGGGGAUGUGGUAGCUGCUCUCUCUCUCUCCUCCCCUCCCAGCCCCACCACUAAAAAUCCCAUGAAGUCAUCUGUGCUCAGUAUUUGCUAGAGAAUUUUACUGGAGCCAAAAGGGGAAUGAGAUGCCAUCUAUCUGGGGCCCAGAGACCCAUUAAUAAAUGAUCCAUCACAGCUCA
rnacentral:lncRNA from 1 species